UAUUUACCUUUUGGAAGAGCAAAAGAUUAACACAAGGAGAGAGAAACCGUCAACAUCUCUAUAGUUCAGUAUCCUCAGCAACAGUUGUGGGUGAUAUGGGGUCCAUUUCAACACUGGUUUGGAGAGAUAAUAUGAUACUCUUGGGUUUGCUCUCUCUGGAUGGCAUCAAGACAUCAGUACAGAAUUCCAUGACAGAUUUUCCACAAUAUGGAUGGCUGAUAGCCAAGCAAAUGUUGAGAAACUCAAAAGGAACACAGAUACAGGGAACACACUUGGUGCUACCCCCACUUAGCCUGAGCUCUUACGUUCCCUCGAAGGACACUGAAGUGACGCUGCAGCUUUACUGCCAAGUCUUCUGAGCAGGUGACCAACGCCUUCUGCUUCACCAGGUCCUACACUCUUUCGUCUAGUCUUCUCUGCUCUUGUUCAUUAGAUAAUUGUGACUUGGUGUAGGGUUAUAACAUUUGUGUGUGUAUGUGUGUGUGAAUGUGCAUAGACACAUACAAGCUCAUGAACAUAUACAGUACAUAUCUGAACAUAUACACACAGACUGAAUUGCAGUCACGUGUUUAGUUUCCCAAUUCAUGCUAAUGCAAGAGGAGAUAAGCUGUGCUGCUGUAGAAAAGAAAGUUACCUUCUGCUUGAUGGUAAAAGAACACAGUGAGCAGAGGAAAUAGAGAGCUCUGGCAAACUGCACAGACAAGUAGACCAUGGAGGUCCUUGUCCUCGUAGCAAACCACACUCUGAAAGUUCCCCAGGCUGUGUAGCUAAGGCUUGUUUCCCCUUCCAGGAUCAGCCCGUUACUCUCACCCACGGCUUCCCAGUUGCUUCAAGGUAAACAGCUUUCCUUUGAAGGAGCUCCCUUAACCACAGCUUGGCUCGCUUCAUGCACAAAGCAAUCAACUCAGUAAACUAGAAAAUCUUCAUAACCAGGAGGCAAAAUAAACCUUUGCUCCCUGUAAGGUGAUUGUGUCAGGGAUUCGUUUGGGUAACAGAAGGGUGAGGAUCUCAUGGCCAAAUGAUUGUAGGCAUUAUUUCAUACCAAAAUGUAUUUCAUGGAAGUGCUGGACCACAUUAUAUACUUUCAUUCUUUGACUGAUGAACAUUUGGAUAGUUUCAAAUUCGGGGCUGCUUUGAGGAAUGCUGCUAAAACCCUAAUGUGCCCCCAGUUUCUCGGUGGACAUCAACUUCUCAUUCUGGAAUCACUGUUUCACCUGGAGACUGCAGUUCAACUUUCUGCAGAAAUGCACGUGACUUCUCAUGGGGCUCACCCUUUAAUACCACCAGCGAUAUCUGAGGAACCUUAUUCUUCUCAACUUUCCAUGGAGCCAGUUUUAACUCAGUGUGAACAAGUUUGGAAUAAAAGCAGUGACUGAGUGCUGCAGACACGGAGCUUUACACUCUCAUGAGCCUCGGUGGGUUGCACUGAGACAGGCCUGUUCACCUCAACAUGGCUAUGGGAUUUCUGCUGGUGUGGAAAACAGCUACAUAUACAUUGCUACUCAGAGUCUCUCAAAGACCAAAAUCCAGCCCAAGCUCCAUGACCAAGGAUACCUGAGACAAGGUUAGGCAAAGGCAGAAAGAAGAUGCUAACAGGCAAUUAGGAUGAGAAGAAAAAUGGCUGCAGUGAAGAAACAGGGAACCCCUGACAAUCCAGUGGUCUGUACCAUUCACCAGGACAGAGAAGGGACCAAACCCUCAGCCAGUGUUUCCACAGCAACCUGCUCCUAACCUUCGUGUACCCCAUUCCUUUUGAUUCCUCCAAAUGAUCUUAUUGUAGAUAAAUAUUUCUUUUGUCUCUACAAUCACCUGAAAAGUUUUGAGUUUGCAAUUACAGUUGUUUUGUCCUUUUGUUCUAGGGUCCUGUCUGGACAUGCAAAAAGAUGGUGAACUUCAUGCAGUACUCAGUGGAUACAGAGUGGAUUUUUUUCAUCCUGACACUCUCCAAUCCUAAAGGUAAGUUACCAUCUGUGCACAGCAAAUCUGGACCACAGAAGAGCAAACCUGCAGGAAGGACUCCUAACAAAGCCUCAAACUCCAAGUUCACCCAUCAUAGUCACCUCACAAAUCCUCCCCCAGUAACUUUUCAAUGGAUUGCAUUGUAUAAAGUAUGAAAACAGCACCCGGGUCAGUCAGUAGGAGGCUAGUGAAGUUACCUAUAGUGCUUUUCUGAAAUGCAGUACUGUACAAUAGGAGGGGUAUCUGCACUCAUUGUACAAUAUAAUUGUAAAUACAAUAUAUUUGGCCAGGG